rnacentral:rRNA from 1 species
AUUGAACGCUGGCGGCAGGCCUAACACAUGCAAGUCGAGCGAGAGGCGGACGGGUGAGUAAUGUAUGGGGACUGCCCGAUAGAGGGGGAUAACUACUGGAAACGGUGGCUAAUACCGCAUACUAUCGGAUAACCCAUAGGGGAUUAGCUAGUAGGUGGGGUAAAGGCUCACCUGUGCGACGAUCUCUAGCUGGUCUGAUAGGAUGAUCAGCCACACUGUGACUUAGACACGGCCCAGACUCCUACGGAGGCAGCAGUGGGGAAUAUUGCCCAAUUGGCGCAAGCCUGAUGCAGCCAUGCCGCGUGUAUUAAGAAGGCCUUAGUGUUGUAAAGUACUUUCAGCGUGGAGGCGUUACCCGCAGAAGAAGCACCGGCUAACUCCGUGCCAGCCGCCGCGGUAAUAC